rnacentral:rRNA from 1 species
AUGUCCCCUAUUUUGUUCAACAUUGUAGUGGAUAUGUUGGCAAUUCUGAUAGGAAGGGCGAAGGAGGUUGGUCAAGUGGGUGGCCUGGUACCUCAUCUCGUUGAUGGCGGUGUGUCCAUCCUCCAGUACGCUGAUGAUACAAUCAUCUUUAAGGAGCAUGACCUGGCAAAAGCGAGAAAUAUGAAGCUGAUGUUAUGCUUAUUUGAACAAUUGACCAGGUUAAAAAUUAACUUUCACAAAAGCGAGUUGUUCUGCUUUGGUAGAGAUAAUGAUGAACAAGAGGCUUAUAGGCAAUUGUUUGGGUGUGAUUUGGGGGCUUUGCCUUUCACCUACUUAGGAAUACCAAUCCACCAUCGUAAGCUGACAAACAGAGAGUGGAAGUGCAUCGAGGAUCGAUUUGAAAAGAAGAUGAGUUGUUGGGAGGGCAAGAUCAUGUCAUACGGAGGCCGAUUAAUUCUGAUAAAUUCGGUUCUCACCAGUAUGCCUAUGUUUCUGUUGUCUUUCUUCGAAGUCCCAUUGGAGUUAGGAAAAGACUGGACUUCUAUAGAUCGCGUUUCUUUUGGCAAGGUGAUGAGCUAA